CAAAGCGGCCCACUUCAUUGCCUUGUCGAAAUUUCUAACAGCCAAGGGAACGGCUGAUUAUAUUACUCACCAUGUGUUCAGGCUCCAUGGGAUUCUCUUGGACAAAAUUCACAACUCAAGUUUGACAUUCCUUCUUUGCAGAGCUGGGCACAACUCUCAAUUUCACUUCUGGCUUUUAACCCCCAGACAAAUGGACAGACUGCACGGGCAAACAAAGAUCUGGACACCGGAUUGCGCUGUGUCGUUUCCUCCAAUCCCUCUACCUGGAACACCUUCCCUGGAUUGAAUAUUCCCACAACUCUUUGGUGUGCUGGUCUUCAUCAGACCCAUCGGGACAGUCAUCGCGUCCGUCACAGAAUCGAUCGAUCAGAACGCAGCCUGAGCCGUCAGAGCAGGUCAUGUGACCCUCCGGGCAGGAAGCUGACAGACAGAGCAGAUAUUAAAAGGUUAGACGACUGUAACGUCCUGCUCACUGGCCUCUCCAAACGAGCCUUAACACAGAACAGAACAUCCAGAACGCUGCUGCUCAGGUCCUGACUAGAACCAGGAAGUACGAGCACAUAAGUCCUGUGCUCAGGUCUCUGCACUGGCUUCCUGUAGCUCAAAGAUUAGACUUGACAGAAGUUCUAAUUUUGUACAAGUCUCUCCAUGGCCUAGGUGUAAAGUACAUCUCCGACAUGUUGGUGCCAUAUGGACCAUGUCACACUCUGAGGACGUCAGGGACCGGCCUCCUGCUGGUGCCAGAGUCAGGACUAAACAUGGGGAAUCGGCGUUUAAGUUUUAUGCAGCUAAAACCUGGAACAUUCUUCCUGAAGAUGUGAGACAGGCCUCUACUUUGACAAUGUUUAAAUCCAGGCUCAAAACAGUUCUGUUUAUCUGUGCAGACGACUGAAAGAGACUGAAAGAUUAAAGGAACAAUCACAUUAUUACAUGGGUUAAAAACUAUUUCAGGUGCAACAAUGAUAUUUUGAGUUUAAAACAUGCAUGUAUGUUACUGAUAUUGUAAAUUGUACAAUGGGGAUACAAUAUUUGAUAAUCUGAAAUAAAAAAAAAAAAACUAAGCUAUAGCUACUACUUCUACAAAGAUUAGAUAAUGGAAAUUGACUUUUAACUAGCUGUAUACAUUAUUGUUACGCAGGCUAGGUUUUUUAUGACAGGUGAUAAUUCAGAAGACUCUCAGAGGAAAUGACGAGCGUGUCCCCGAACCUUGAACUGUGAAUGGAGAAUGACAACUUUUUCCACUCUUCUUGUUGAUCUCAUCACGUAGUAACCGCUCAAACUCACACAACGAGGAACCUUUUUGAACAACUGACUUUGACUGAGACACCACGGAGCUCAGUAGGACUCAGGGUUUUUAAUUUAUUUUACACAAUGUGAAUCACAGAAUGUCGGCUGUUAAGUUGUAAACAUUUUCAUUUUAUUUGAUUUUCUGCCUAAAUUAAACCGUCAUUGCUCAUUUCUGUCUCCUGCCAUUUCAUUUACACUCAC
ensembl:lncRNA